UGGGAUAGCUCAGUUGGUAGAGCAGAGG
rnacentral:tRNA from 1 species